GUUAUUCCUAGGAAUUGUCAGUUCAGAGAGAGCUAAAUAAGAGGAGAGGCCGGAAGUGUGGCCGUGGAUUCGGUUUACUUAUGGUGGGAUACCGUGUACAGCAUCAUCCAGCACGUCAGAGGAAAAGGUUUUUCUUCAGCUAUGGAAAUCGGUUGGAAGCUAGCGUGGUGUCUCAAAGUUUCAAUAUGGCCUAUGAGCUGUGGAAAAAAAUUCUACACCAAUCCAACAAGUUGCAGUACAUGCCUGUCCAUGGCGGCUGACUGACUUUAGAUGCUUCACGAUGAAGUCGUCCCAUUUGAUGGUGAUUAUCACAGUUUUAUUUAUCGCAUCUCCCUGGCUGGCAAGGCAGCCAUGCUUUCACAACACCAAAGCAGGUUGCUUUCAAACUGUAGAAGAAAUGUCCAAGAUAUGUCUGUCUGGUAUGGGAGCUUUGAAUUCUGGUGCACUGGUGAAUGCCAAUUGGACAUUUGGACCUUGUUCUUUCUCCAGCAGUGCCUUUCACAGCAUUCUUGCUCUCAAAGCUGCCAAUACAGUAAUCCACAUCAGGACAUCUCCUUCAAAUUUUGAAACACGGACUGGAGCAUAUACCGGUAUCAUUCUUUGAGCUGGGCGACGUGAAGAUUGAGGCCGAAACUUCUUUGCAUUGGAAGCUCCACGGGAGUUACUCAUGGUCAUGGCGUUGAACGGCUGCAGAGUUAGACUGUACAUGAGCAUGUGUGGUCCUGCUACGUUGGAAGAAGAUAAUUCUUGCAAUAAUUCAGGUCGAAUUUCUGAUCAGACAGACAGACGGACAAUUCAAUUGCAAAUGCAAGGCACCACAGGUAGUCCGUGAUAACCAGCUUCAGAGGAUCCAUCACAGUUGCUUUCAUCAUGAGCAAUUCAUUUUUGUUAGUUUCUUCUGAGCAGAUUGCUACUGGCAGCUUUGGUCAGUCGUCUGAGACUGUGACAUCGUGCCUUUCUGAAUUUCCUGUGAUUUGCACAGGGUGAGACUUUGACAAACCUGGGCACUGGACACGACUUUCAAACGAAGAACCUUUUUUUUCUACCCCCAUCACGUUCUGCAAUCAACAAGUGGACAUUACUGAUUGUUGGAGUAUAUUGAGCCCAUGUAUAGAGGCCCCAUCUAGAGGCCCAUGUAUAGAAUCU